UAAUAGAGGUGUGCUAUGAGUGGGAGGAGGAGUGACCCAAGAAAGACACAAGCCAAAAUAGUUUGAGAAGCAUACUUUCCUUUGUCUAAGGGUACAGACAUCCACCCAGGUGACUUGAAGAAUGAGUUGAUGUCUUCACCAUGGAACUACAUACAGGCUUGAAUCAGGACUUGGAGACAUUCAAGAUGGAGAUCUAGUGGACAGUGGAAAGCUGUGGGCCCAGCUGUAGCCCCAUUCCAAUUAGGUGAUGACCUACUCCUACCUUAACAAAUUUUGUCCAAAGUACUCUGUAGUGAACUUGAAUCUAGAACUAUAUAGGACUUGAGUUUAGCUAUGCUGACAGAAAACCACUAUACCCCAUGACCAGAGGCAUCUUCUAAGGUAGCUGAGAUGUGUUCAAGAACCAUGUGCUAUGCUGUGUAAUAUGACAGAUUUGGGAAGUCCAUAUGGAUGUCUCUGGCAUUAUCUAGAUUCUGUCAUCUCAUACACAGGACAACCAAGAACUAUAUACAUUCUAUUUGAAAGGUAAAUUUGAAAGAUUUUCUAUGGGGAAGUUAAACAAUUGAAAUAAUAUAGAAAGAGAUGUAUCGAUGCUAAAGAU